rnacentral:misc_RNA from 1 species
UGUCUCUCUUUGGAAACACGACCAGCGAACCAGUAAUGAAAAGCUGUCGGGGGGAGCAACUGUCCCUCCGGCCCUGCCGGAUCCGACCCUUGGGUCGGAUGUCGGAACACGGCGUAGGAUGACGCCAAGGAACACAAAUCUGCCGAUGCGCAUGGCUUCUAUGCUUGUGUUGCUGAGGCUCUCUUAUAACGAGAACGAAAAC